rnacentral:rRNA from 1 species
UUUACCUCGGAUCAUGU